UACGGGGGGGGCAAGCGUUGUUCGGAAUUACUGGGCGUAAAGGGCUCGUAGGCGGCCAACUAAGUCAUACGUGAAAUCCCUCGGCUUAACCGGGGAACUGCGUCUGAUACUGGAUGGCUUGAGUUCGGGAGAGGGAUGCGGAAUUCCAGGUGUAGCGGUGAAAUGCGUAGAGAUGUGGAGGAACACCGAUGGCGAAGGCAGCCUCCUGGGCCAGCACUGACGCUCAUGCACGAAAGCGUGGGGAGCAAACAGG
rnacentral:rRNA from 1 species